rnacentral:rRNA from 1 species
UGGGGAAUUUUCCGCAAUGGGCGAAAGCCUGACGGAGCAACGCCGCGUGAGGGAUGAAGGCCUCUGGGCUGUAAACCUCUUUUAUCAAGGAAGAAGAUCUGACGGUACUUGAUGAAUAAGCCACGGCUAAUUCCGUGCCAGCAGCCGCGGUAAUACGGGAGUGGCAAGCGUUAUCCGGAAUUAUUGGGCGUAAAGCGUCCGCAGGCGGUCUUGUAAGUCUGUCGUUAAAGCGUGGAGCUUAACUCCAUUUAAGCGAUGGAAACUGCAAGACUAGAGUGUGGUAGGGGCAGAGGGAAUUCCCGGUGUAGCGGUGAAAUGCGUAGAUAUCGGGAAGAACACCAGUGGCGAAGGCGCUCUGCUGGGCCAUAACUGACGCUCAUGGACGAAAGCCAGGGGAGCGAAAGGG